rnacentral:rRNA from 1 species
CAGUAGUCACGUAGUUUGAUCCUGGCUCAGAACGAACGCUGGCGGCAUGCCUAACACAUGCAAGUCGAACGAGACCUUCGGGUCUAGUGGCGCACGGGUGCGUAACGCGUGGGAACCUGCCUUUAGGUUCGGAAUAACUCAGAGAAAUUUGAGCUAAUACCGGAUAAUGUCUUCGGACCAAAGAUUUAUCGCCUUUAGAUGGGCCCGCGUUGGAUUAGCUAGUUGGUGGGGUAAAGGCCUACCAAGGCGACGAUCCAUAGCUGGUCUGAGAGGAUGAUCAGCCACACUGGGACUGAGACACGGCCCAAACUCCUACGGGAGGCAGCAGUGGGGAAUAUUGGACAAUGGGCGAAAGCCUGAUCCAGCAAUGCCGCGUGAGUGAUGAAGGCCUUAGGGUUGUAAAGCUCUUUUACCCGAGAUGAUAAUGACAGUAUCGGGAGAAUAAGCUCCGGCUAACUCCGUG